rnacentral:lncRNA from 1 species
AUGAGGUAGGGUCACAUGUUCUGCCGAUAACACCUUUUGAAAAGCAACAGGGAAUGAUGAUUUCAUCAGGUGUUUUUACAGCCAUAUUGUUUAAAACUGUAGUUAUCUAAAGGUCUAUUUUACGGGAAUCUAUAGAGUAAAAUUUCCAGUGCUAAGUCAUCACUGAUUGACUGGCAAAUUUACUCUGUAGAUUUCCGUGAAACAGACAUUUGAAUGCCUACCAAUAUGGCUUUAUAUACAGUUUAUUUAUAUGUCAAUAAGUGUAAGAAAAUCAAGUUUUAUAUAGAAUAGCUAUUGUGUAUGACAUUUGAGAGGACCCAUGAAGGAUUUUAAUCCUUUUAAAAUGUAAAAGACACGUUGUCCUGUCCCACAUGGACGUCCUGUCACAGAACACGUCCGACGAUUAAUGAUUGAUCUUUUUCGCAAUUCUACUUGACUUUCCCCAUUUCUGCCACACAGGUAACUUAUCAUUUGUGGUAAGGAGCAACGCGACGGGCCAGUUGCGCAACUCUGCGGAAGCUAAAGUUCAAGGCAGGCACCCAGUCCAUGGCACUUUAUCAUUAGUUUCCAAUCCUUUAGCCUUCCGGCCGUGGCACUUUAAAGGUUGUUCAGUACUGAACUGGACCUUGGACUGUUCUUCUUUUGACAGCGCUCUUGAAGUAUAAUCACCAGAGGCCCCUUACAGAU